rnacentral:ncRNA from 2 species
AUUGAAAGCUGAGUUUCAGGUUCCCUCAAGGGAAUAAAAGGGAAGGCUGUGAAAGUCAGCCGCGGUCCCGCCGCUUUAAGUGUGACGAAAUCUACGGAAUCCCACUGGCUCAAUGUCGGGAAGGGGUAGAGAGUAGUGCGAUCACGAGUCAGAACACCUGCCUGAAAUAAAAGUCGCUG